rnacentral:rRNA from 1 species
GAUGAACGCUGGCGGCGUGCCUAAUACAUGCAAGUCGAGCGAACAGACGAGGAGCUUGCUCCUCUGACGUUAGCGGCGGACGGGUGAGUAACACGUGGAUAACCUACCUAUAAGACUGGGAUAACUUCGGGAAACCGGAGCUGAUACCGGAUAAUAUAUUGAACCGCAUGGUUCAAUAGUGAAAGACGGUUUUGCUGUCACUUAUAGAUGGAUCCGCGCCGCAUUAGCUAGUUGGUAAGGUAACGGCUUACCAAGGCAACGAUGCGUAGCCGACCUGAGAGGGUGAUCGGCCACACUGGAACUGAGACACGGUCCAGACUCCUACGGGAGGCAGCAGUAGGGAAUCUUCCGCAAUGGGCGAAAGCCUGACGGAGCGACGCCGCGUGAGUGAUGAAGGUCUUCGGAUCGUAAAACUCUGUUAUUAGGGAAGAACAAAUGUGGAAGUAACCAUGCACGUCUUGACGGUACCUAAUCAGAAAGCCACGGCUAACUACGUG